ensembl:lncRNA
AAAUAAAUAAAAAAUAAACAGGGGUCUUUAUGACAAUAAAGCUAUAAAAACAUAAAAAAUAUUUACAAAUUUAUGAAAAACUUUAUAUCUGUGGAUAGGUCUGAAGUUGUUUAAAAGAUCUGAUGUGAAAAAAAAUGAAAAAACAAUUCAUAAAAUUCAUUGCUAUAUCACCUUUUGGAUGGGGACCAUUUUGGGUCCCGAGGGAUACCAAUGGAAGUAUAUUGCAAAAACUCUUAUUGCUCCAAAAAUAAUAAUGCAUCCAAAUCAAUUCUAUUCUGAAUUCUUUACCUAUCCAAGGCUCUAAUAACCUCAUGCCAAGUAGUUCCAUUUGCAACUCAUUUUUUGAAAAUAUUGCAUAUUAUGGUUUUUUACCCCCCAAAAUAAAAAAUAAACAGGGGUCUUUAUGACAAUAAAGCCAUAAAAACCUAAAAAAUAUGAAAAAAAUUAUGAAAAACUUUAUAUCAGUGGAUAGGUCUGAAGUUGUUUAAAAGAUCUGGUGUGAAAAAAACUGGAAAAAAAAUUCAUAAAAUCCAUUGCUAUAUCACCUUUUGGAUGGGGACCAUUUUGGGUCCCGAGGACCAUAAAAGGGUGUAAAUUUGAAAAACUCUUAUUGCUCCAAAAAUAAUAAUGCAUCCAAAUCAAUUCUAUUCUGAAUUCUUUACCUAUCCAAGGCUCUAAUAACCUCAUGCCAAGUAGUUCCAUUUGCAACUCAUUUUUUGAAAAUAUUGCAUAUUAUGGUUUUUUACCCCCCAAAGAAAAUAAACAGGGGUCUUUAUGACAAUAAAGCCAUAAAAACAUAAAAAAUAUUGAGAAAAUUAUGAAAAACUUUAUAUCAGUGGAUAGGUCUGAAGUUGUUUAAAAGAUCUGGUGUGAAAAAAACUGGAAAAAAAAUUCAUAAAAUCCAUUGCUAUAUCACCUUUUGGAUGGGGACCAUUUUGGGUCCCGAGGACCAUAAAAGGGUGUAAAUUUGAAAAACUCUUAUUGCUCCAAAAAUAAUAAUGCAUCCAAAUCAAUUCUAUUCUGAAUUCUUUACCUAUCCAAGGCUCUAAUAACCUCAUGCCAAGUAGUUCCAUUUGCAACUCAUUUUUUGAAAAUAUUGCAUAUUAUGGUUUUUUACCCCCCAAAAUAAAAAAUAAACAGGGGUCUUUAUGACAAUAACGCCAUAAAAACCUAAAAAAAUGUAAAAGAAAAUUAUGAAAAACUUUAUAUCAGUGGAUAGGUCUGAAGUUGUUUAAAAGAUCUGAUGUGAAAAAAAAUGAAAAAUUAAUUCAUAUAUGAUAUUGCUAUAUCACCUUUUGGAUGGGGACCCCUUUGGGUCCCAAGGGAUACCAAUGGAUGUAUACUGUAAAAACUCUUAUUGCUCCAAAAAUAAUAAUGCAGCCAAAUCAAUUCUGUUAUGAAUUCUUUACCUAUCCAAGGCUCUAAUAACCUCAUGCCAAGUAGUUCCAUUUGCAACUCAUUUUUUAAAAAUAUUGCAUAUUAUGGUUUUUUACCCCCAAAAAAACAGGGGUUUUUAUGACAAUAAAGCCAUAAAAACCUAAAAAAUAUGAAAAAAAUUAUGAAAAACUUUAUAUCAGUGGAUAGGUCUGAAGUUGUUUAAAAGAUCUGAUGUGAAAAAAAAUGAAAAAAAAAUUCAUAAAAUCCAUUGCUAUAUCACCUUUUGGAUGGGGACCAUUUUGGGUCCCGAGGACCAUAAAAGGGUGUAAAUUUGAAAAACUCUUAUUGCUCC